rnacentral:rRNA from 1 species
CCUACGGGGGGCAGCAGUGGGGAAUAUUGCGCAAUGGGGGCAACCCUGACGCAGCAACGCCGCGUGCGGGACGAAGGCCUUCGGGUUGUAAACCGCUUUCAGCAGGGAAGAACCAUGACGGUACCUGCAGAAGAAGCCCCGGCUAACUACGUGCCAGCAGCCGCGGUAAUACGUAGGGGGCGAGCGUUAUCCGGAUUCAUUGGGCGUAAAGCGCGCGUAGGCGGCCCGCUAAGCGGGACCUCUAACCUGGGGGCUCAACCUCCAGCCGGGUCCCGAACUGGCGAGCUCGAGUGCGGUAGGGGCAG